UACGUAGGGCGCAAGCGUUGUCCGGAAUUAUUGGGCGUAAAGAGCUCGUAGGCGGCUUGUUGCGUCAGCUGUGAAAACCCGCAGCUCAACUGUGGGCUUGCAGCUGAUACGGGCAGGCUUGAGUUCGGUAGGGGAGACUGGAAUUCCUGGUGUAGCGGUGAAAUGCGCAGAUAUCAGGAGGAACACCGGUGGCGAAGGCGGGUCUCUGGGCCGAUAUUGACGCUGAGGAGCGAAAGCGUGGGGAGCGAACAGG
rnacentral:rRNA from 1 species